AAACAAACAUUUCUCGACAAUGCACCCAGUGAGUGAAAACUUCACACAUUCUCGAGAAUGUUGGUUUCUCAGAAUGCAAAAGAUGGAGAAC